UUGACACCUGCACUUGCUGCAGUUGUCUAUUCAGCUACAGAGCAGAAAUAUUGCAGAGGCUGUUUAAGCUUCUGCCCACAGCCCUGCUGAUAUGCUUCAGACUUGCCCCAGAGAGGUGACCUCUAGGCAUGAGAUGGUAGCACAGUCUCCAUGCCCAUCCAGUCCUUGGCUUCU
rnacentral:sRNA from 1 species